AAACAUCCUGAUCAUAAUCUUGGUCGUCUUCUUCCGAUGAAAAACCGGCGAGUCCUUCACCCCAGCUCUCCUCAUCAUCGUAAUCCGGUUGGUCUUCCCACAAUUUCGAUUUAAUGACCAAGUCCCUCCACUUAAGUUGAAAACCUUUUUUGUUGCUUGAAGUUGAUGGUUCCCCGUACCCUUUAACAAUGUUGUUCAUAGGAGGAGAGUUGUCCUUGGCAAGUACUUUAAAUGAAUUUGAAAUUGGCAGUAAAGCUGUAUUGUUUCCUGGAUUGUUUGCUGCAAUGUGACUUUUAUUUUUGGAUUUUGAUGAUUCUGCUUUGUGGGCCAUCGAUGAGCAUUGUCUAUCUUCCCUUUUGUGUUGUCGAUGAUCAGUAAAUUGUAAAUCAGAGUUUGCUUAUGUUGAGGCAGUAUUAGUUACAGCCUCUGCAAUUGUAUCUCCUGCAGCAAUGUUUGAAGUAUCUAGCAGUUUUGUCAUUGUGGAUUGCUCCCCUGUUUGAACUGGAAAAUCAGUAUGAAUUGCAGCAGAUUUAGUGGCAUUAUUGUGUAACAAAAGUUGGUGCUCAGACAGCAAAUGUUGACUCCUGGUUGCAUUGUGAUGUGCAGCCUCAGCAGAUGCAGCAGCCUCAAUCACCUUAAGACUAAUCCAGCCAAAUUUGAC
rnacentral:lncRNA from 1 species